AAAUUCGUGGCUGAGCGGUACAGCGCAUGGCUUCCGAACCGGUGGUCCCGGGUUCAAAUCCUGGUGAAGAUU
rnacentral:tRNA from 1 species